AAAUAUUGAUUUACUUAAUUUUUAAUUGUGUUUUUAGUUAAUAGAAAUAACUUAAAUUAUAGUAAUGUUUAUUGAACUAAUAAAUAGUGUGAUAGUUUACAGGUACUGUAAAGGGUUAUAUUUUAUUUUAUAGGAAGAAGUUUUUAUUUGAUGUACCUUUUGUAUCAGGGUUGAUUAAAUAUUUUUAAUUAUUUAAGUUUCCCGAAAUUAAAGGAGAUACAAUAAUGUGUUAGUUAAUGUGUCAGAAUUAUUGAUAAUUUUAUUGUUGUGAUGAUAAGUCAUUCGUUUUUAAAUAUCUGGUUUUCUAGGAAUUGAAUUGAAUUCAGGAUCAUUAUUAUUUAAUUUAUCUAUGAAUUUAUUUUAUGGUCUAAAACUAUUGGGGAUAAGCUCAUUAGUGGUUUAUAAUUUUAUUUAUGUUUAGUUUCAGUAGGCUUAAGAUCAGCCAUCUAAAAUUUCGUUAUAGAUUGAGCUUUUAUAUUUUUUAUUUUAUUGUAAUUUAAGUGAUUACUGGGAAGGGUUAUUUAAUUAACUAUUAAUUGUUAUAAUGAUUAUAUUAGUAUGUUUGAUAAUUAUUAUAUAGGAAUUCGGCAAUUUUUAUAUUCGCCUGUUUAACAAAAACAUGUUCUUUUGGUUAUUAUAUAAGAUUUGACCUGCCCAAUGAAUUUUUAAUGGCCGCGGUAUUUUAACCGUGCUAAGGUAGCAUAAUCAUUUGUCUUUUAAUUGAGGGCUAGUAUGAAGGGUUGGACGAGAUAUAAUCUUUCUUUAUUUUAAAAUCAGAAUUUUACUUUUUAGUUAAAAGGCUAAAAUGUUUUUGUGGGACGAGAAGACCCUAUAGAUCUUCAUAAGUCUUGAUUUUGAAUUAUUUGGUUAAUUAACUUUUUAAUAUCUUGUUUUAUUUGAUUGGGGUGAUUGUAGAAAAUAUUAAACUUCUGUUUAUUUAUAUCAUAAAUGAGUGUUGAGGUGAUCCAUUAUUAUUGAUUAUAAGAUUAAGUUACCUUAGGGAUAACAGCGUUAUUUUUACGGAGAGUUCUUAUCGAUGUAAGAGUUUGCGACCUCGAUGUUGGAUUAAAAUAAGUUUUAGGCGUAGUCGUCUAGUUACUAGGUCUGUUCGACCUUUGAAUUUUUACAUGAUCUGAGUUCAGACCGGCGUGAGCCAGGUCAGUUUCUAUCUUCAAUUAUUUAUUAGGCUUUAGUACGAAAGGACCAGGUUUGAGGAAUAUUUUUUAUUAUUGAUUAAUAUU
rnacentral:rRNA from 1 species